UGGUUCUGGCAUCGAUGAAGAACGCAGCGAAAUGCGAUAAGUAGUGUGAAUUGCAGAAUUCCGUGAAUCAUCGAAUUUUUGAACGCACAUUGCGCCCAUUGGUAUUCCAAUGGGCAUGCCUGUUCGAGCGUCAUGUAAACCUUCAAGCUGUGCUUGGUGUUGGGUGUUGUUGCAGUGUUUAGCCUGUCAACUCAUCUUCAAAUAUAUUGGCGGCCAGCAAUUGGGCAUGAGAGCGCAGCACAUUAUGCGCUUUUAGUUAUAAUUGAUGGCGUCCAUGAAGCUAAUUCUAUCAUUUGACCUCGGAUCAGGUAGGGAUACCCGCUGA
rnacentral:misc_RNA from 1 species